rnacentral:misc_RNA from 1 species
UCUCCGUAGGUGAACCUGCGGAGGGAUCAUUACAGAGUUCAUGCCCUACCGGGUAGAUCUCCCACCCUAUGUUAUUAUUACUUUGUUGCUUUGGCGGGCCGUUAGGCUCCGGCCCGACUACCGGCCCCGGCUGGUAAGCGCCCGCCAGAGGACCCAAAACCCUGAAUAUUUGUGUCGUCUGAGUACUAUAUAAUAGUUAAAACUUUCAACAACGGAUCUCUUGGUUCUG